GACGAAGGGGGCUAGCGUUGUUCGGAAUUACUGGGCGUAAAGCGAGUGUAGGUGGUUGUCCAAGUUGGAUGUGAAAGCCUUGAGCUCAACUCAAGAAAUGCAUUCAGGACUGGGCGGCUAGAGGAUCGGAGAGGAUAGUGGAAUUCCCAGUGUAGUGGUGAAAUACGUAGAGAUUGGGAAGAACACCAGUGGCGAAGGCGGCUAUCUGGACGGUUUCUGACACUAAGACUCGAAAGCGUGGGGAGCAAACAGG
rnacentral:rRNA from 1 species